GAGCCAAAGGAGAAGGGGAGUGGCCUGGGCCCCUGCAGCUCCAGGCACCAAGGGCUGGUUACCUUUCUCCAUCCUCCUCCCGGAAGAGAACGGAGAAUUGGCCUGGACCCCAACAGCCCCUCCUCCAGGGCAGAGUCAGUCGGUACCUACCCACACCUGGUACCUCCCUUACUGGCAACAGAGUCCGGAGCUAGUAACAGCCACAGCAGGGACAAAGCCACCUGGGCAAGUGCUGGAGCCACUGGGAGUCACAGGAAGGAAGGCCUGGGAAGGCCUUGAACACCUGCCGCCUCCACCACUCCUGGGAGAAGGUCCCAGCACCCCACAGAUGGGCUCAGGGCCCCCCUGUAACAUCUCCACCGCCGCCCACCGCUGCAAUGUGGGUGGCCUGCAGGCUGCAGUGAUCAUCAUCCCAACCCUGCUCUCCUCAUCUACUCUGCUAAUCGUCAGCUUCAUCAUAUGGAAAACUUGCCGCCGGUUGUCUCGAGUCACCCACCCCCGCCUGCCAUCCACAUGAGGGGCCCAGGAGUUUCAAUUGUGGAAUGUGACACCCAGAAAUGGAGCUGAGUUAUAUUCAUGCCUGUGAAACUUUGCUGCUGAGGCCCCUGGAGCUACCCUGAUCCUUUCGAAGACCCAUUCAUCAAUAAUCCUUUUGAUUCUGAAAAUCCUUGCAAUCAAUUCCCCAAACCUUUAAUUUUCAUUUCUUUCAGAAUCAGUUUGUUACUUUUAAAUAAAAAACUUUAGCUAAAAUUAACAGUGAAGAGAGAUGAAGCUGGUGGGGUAUACAGUCAGCAUAGUCCAGUGUAGGUAUAAUAUGACCCACAUAUGGAAUUUUGUAUUUUCCAGUAGCCACAUUUUAAAAAUUGAAAAGAAGUUAGUGAAAUUAAUAUUAACAAUGUGUUUCAUUUCACCCAAUAUAGAUAAAUAUUAUUUAUCAUUUCAGUAUCUAGUCAAUAUUUUUAAAUUGCUAAUGAGAUGUUUUACAUUCUUCUCUUUGAACCAUGUCUUUGAACUAUGGGGUGUAUUUUACACAUAUAGCAUAUCUCAAAUAAGACUGGCCACACUUUUGAGUGCUCCAUAACCACAGGAGGCUGGUUGCCUGCAUAAUGGAUAGCACAGAUUAAGAUAUUCAAGGUGAUGAAGGACCUGCUAAGAAGUCCUGGCCUCAUUCUGAAAGCAGUGGGUAUCCCCUGAAGAGAUUCAAAUCUAGAAGUAACAUGAUAAAAUAUAUAUGUAAGUUUAGGAAGAUCACUCUGACUUCCACUUAUAGAAUGGACAGGAAAGGAAUUGAAGCUCAAGUUAGGGAAAUCAGUUAGGAGGAGCUGAAGAGAGAAUGAGAAGUAAAGAUGUUGAUGAUAGACUUUGGUGGCAGCAGCUGAAAUAUUAAGAUGCAGUUCACCUCAAGGGAGGCUAAGGAGGCAGAAGUGAUGCACUUCAUCUUCAUUGCUAACCCUGCACAUAACAUUUAUUUCCCACCUGCACACUUCGUGUAUCUCCUUCCCAUCACUCCAUCUCACAUAUCUUCCCCUAUUCUCUCUGGCAACCAAAGAGGCAAAUCUAUGAUAUUUAAGGCAUAGUCCCCAGUAGUUACGACUGCAAAGUGGUCCACAACAGGAGAUCAAUCAACAGAUGUGUCUUUCCUCCCUCAACGAAAUCUCCUCUGAAUGCUCUUGCCCACACCUAACCACUGAUCCUGAAAUUUGAAAGACAGGAAUAUUGGCCCAAUCUAAGAUAAACUGUAAGUCCUGUCCUAGGAAGUUUCCAGAAACCCUAAGAAGAGCUUUCUGCUGCAUGGGUGAAGGAGGAAGGUUAUAUUUAACCAGGGUUGUGGUUUUGCUUAGAGAGUAUACAUACAACAAAUAAAAGAGGCAAGGAAGUAGUUGGUGAAUGCAAGGGAAUGAUGAUAAAAAUAACCAUGGAAUUUAAGCUGGCAUGGGAAUCUUUAAGAGAUAUUCCUAAAAAUUCCAGUUCUCCAACCCCACCCCUUGCUUCUGGACUUUGGGAAGAAAUGCAUUUUUCUGUCCAUUUGAGGCAGGUAUGACCAUGUGAUGAGAUCUGGCCAAUUAGAUUACAGAUUCUGCUGCUGCUGCUAAGUCGCUUCAGUCGUGUCCAGCUCUGUGAGACCCCAUAGAUGGCAGCCCACCAGGCUC